UGCGUAGGUGGCGCCGUAAGUCGGGUGUGAAAUUUCGGAGCUUAACUCCGAAACUGCAUUCGAUACUGCGGUGCUUGAGGACUGGAGAGGAGACUGGAAUUCAUGGUGUAGCAGUGAAAUGCGUAGAGAUCAUGAGGAAGACCAGUGGCGAAGGCGGGUCUCUGGACAGUUCCUGACACUGAGGCACAAGGGGCCCAGGGGAGGCAAACG
rnacentral:rRNA from 1 species